GACGAACGCUGGCGGCGUGCUUAACACAUGCAAGUCGAACGGUAAGGCCCUUCGGGGUACACGAGUGGCGAACGGGUGAGUAACACGUGGGUGAUCUGCCCUGCACUUCGGGAUAAGCCUGGGAAACUGGGUCUAAUACCGGAUAGGACCCUGGGAAGCAUGUCCUGGGGUGGAAAGCUUUUGCGGUGUGGGAUGGGCCCGCGGCCUAUCAGCUUGUUGGUGGGGUGAUGGCCUACCAAGGCGACGACGGGUAGCCGGCCUGAGAGGGUGACCGGCCACACUGGGACUGAGAUACGGCCCAGACUCCUACGGGAGGCAGCAGUGGGGAAUAUUGCACAAUGGGCGCAAGCCUGAUGCAGCGACGCCGCGUGAGGGAUGACGGCCUUCGGGUUGUAAACCUCUUUCAGCACCGACGAAGCGCAAGUGACGGUAGGUGCAGAAGAAGGACCGGCCAACUACGUGACAGCAGCCGCCGUAA
rnacentral:rRNA from 1 species